rnacentral:rRNA from 1 species
GAUGAACGCUGGCGGCGUGCUUAACACAUGCAAGUCGAACGGAAAGGCCCAAGCUUGCUUGGGUACUCGAGUGGCGAACGGGUGAGUAACACGUGGGUGAUCUGCCCUGCACUUCGGGAUAAGCCUUGGAAACUGGGUCUAAUACCGGAUAGGACCACUUCUUGGAUGUUGUGGUGGAAAGUUUUUUCGGUGUGGGAUGAGCUCGCGGCCUAUCAGCUUGUUGGUGGGGUAAUGGCCUACCAAGGCGUCGACGGGUAGCCGGCCUGAGAGGGUGUACGGCCACAUUGGGACUGAGAGACGGCCCAGACUCCUACGGGAGGCAGCAGGGGGGAAGAUUGCACAAUGGGCGCAAGCCUGAUGAAGCGACGCCGCGUGGGGGAUGACGGCCUUCGGGUUGUAAACGCCUUUCGCUAGGGACGAAGCGUUUUGUGACGGUACCUGGAGAAGAAGCACCGGCUAACUACGUG